rnacentral:ncRNA from 1 species
CAAAAGGGGAGCUGGGGCAUGGCCCGGCUGAGAGGAGCGGUCCGGUCGCUCGACCCAAGAACCUGAUCUGGAUAAUGCCAGCGGAGGGAGGACGAUG